ACGGUGAAGCCCAGCUUGCUGGGUGGAUCAGUGGCGAACGGGUGAGUAACACGUGAGCAACCUGCCCCUGACUCUGGGAUAAGCGCUGGAAACGGCGUCUAAUACUGGAUACGAGACGUGAUCGCAUGGUCAACGUUUGGAAAGAUUUUUCGGUUGGGGAUGGGCUCGCGGCCUAUCAGCUUGUUGGUGAGGUAAUGGCUCACCAAGGCGUCGACGGGUAGCCGGCCUGAGAGGGUGACCGGCCACACUGGGACUGAGACACGGCCCAGACUCCUACGGGAGGCAGCAGUGGGGAAUAUUGCACAAUGGGCGCAAGCCUGAUGCAGCAACGCCGCGUGAGGGAUGACGGCCUUCGGGUUGUAAACCUCUUUUAGCAGGGAAGAAGCGAGAGUGACGGUACCUGCAGAAAAAGCACCGGCUAACUACGUGCCAGCAGCCGCGGUAAUACGUAGGGUGCAAGCGUUAUCCGGAAUUAUUGGGCGUAAAGAGCUCGUAGGCGGUUUGUCGCGUCUGCUGUGAAAUCUGGGGGCUCAACCCCCAGCCUGCAGUGGGUACGGGCAGACUAGAGUGCGGUAGGGGAGAUUGGAAUUCCUGGUGUAGCGGUGGAAUGCGCAGAUAUCAGGAGGAACACCGAUGGCGAAGGCAGAUCUCUGGGCCGUAACUGACGCUGAGGAGCGAAAGGGUGGGGAGCAAACAGGCUUAGAUACCCUGGUAGUCCACCCCGUAAACGUUGGGAACUAGUUGUGGGGUCCAUUCCACGGAUUCCGUGACGCAGCUAACGCAUUAAGUUCCCCGCCUGGGGAGUACGGCCGCAAGGCUAAAACUCAAAGGAAUUGACCGGGACCCGCACAAGCGGCCGAGCAUGCGGAUUAAUUCAAUGCAACGCGAAGUACCUUACCAAGGCUUGACUAUACGAGACCGGGCUGAAAUGGUCCAUCUCUUUGACACUCGUAAACAGUGGUCGCAUGUCUGCCGUCGUCUGUGUCGUGAGAUGCUCGGGUUAGUCCCGCACGUAUCUCAUCCUCGUUCUAUGUAGCCAGCACGUUAUUGGUGUAACUCAUGGGAU
rnacentral:rRNA from 1 species